AUGAACGCUGGCGGCGUGCCUAAUGCAUGCAAGUCGAGCGAACAGACGAGGAGCUUGCUCCUCUGAUGUUAGCGGCGGACGGGUGAGUAACACGUGGAUAACCUACCUAUAAGACUGGGAUAACUUCGGGAAACCGGAGCUAAUACCGGAUAACAUGUUGAACCGCAUGGUUCAACAGUGAAAGACGGUCUUGCUGUCACUUAUAGAUGGAUCCGCGCCGCAUUAGCUAGUUGGUAAGGUAACGGCUUACCAAGGCAACGAUGCGUAGCCGACCUGAGAGGGUGAUCGGCCACACUGGAACUGAGACACGGUCCAGACUCCUACGGGAGGCAGCAGUAGGGAAUCUUCCGCAAUGGGCGAAAGCCUGACGGAGCAACGCCGCGUGAGUGAAGAAGGUCUUCGGAUCGUAAAACUCUGUUAUUAGGGAAGAACAAAUGUGUAAGUAACUAUGCACGUCUUGACGGUACCUAAUCAGAAAGCCACGGCUAACUACGUG
rnacentral:rRNA from 1 species